rnacentral:piRNA from 1 species
UAGCACCGUGCCGGCAGUCUACAGCAU